UACAGAGGAGCCAAGCGUUGUCCGGAUUGACUGGGCGUAAAGCGCACGCAGGCGGUCGCGCGCGUGGGGUGUGAAAACUCAGGGCUUAACCCUGAGCUUGCAGUGGGUACGGGCAGACUAGAGUGUGGUAGGGGAGACUGGAAUUCCUGGUGUAGCGGUGAAAUGCGCAGAUAUCAGGAGGAACACCGAUGGCGAAGGCAGGUCUCUGGGCCAUAACUGACGCUGAGAAGCGAAAGCAUGGGGAGCGAACAGG
rnacentral:rRNA from 1 species